rnacentral:rRNA from 1 species
CCAAUAGCGUAUAUUAAAGUUGCUGCAGUUAAAAAGCUCGUAGUUGAAUUUCGGGACCAUCAUGUCGGUCGUGCCUCGGUACGUACUGGCAUUGUUGGUUUCUCCCUUCUGACGAACCAUGAUGUCAUUUAUUUGGUGUUGUGGGGAAUCAGGACUGUUACUUUGAAAAAAUUAGAGUGUUUAAAGCAGGCUCACGCUUGAAUACAUUAGCAUGGAAUAAUGAAAUAGGACGUUUGAUUCUAUUUUGUUGGUUUCUAGGAUCGACGUAAUGAUUAAUAGGGAUAGUUGGGUGCAUUAGUAUUCAAUUGUCAGAGGUGAAAUUCUUGGAUUUAUUGAAGACUAACUACUGCGAAAGCAUUUGCCAAGGAUGUUUUCAUUAAUCAAGAACGAAAGUUAGGGGAUCGAAGACGAUCAGAUACCGUCGUAGUCUUAACCAUAAACUAUGCCGACUAGGGAUCGGAUGAUGUUAAUUUUUUAAUGACUCAUUCGGCGCCUUACG